rnacentral:rRNA from 10 species
UCCGACCUCAGAUCGGACGAGAUUACCCGCUGAAUUUAAGCAUAUAACUAAGCGGAGGAAAAGAAACUAACAAGGAUUU